UUAGCUACUGUGUCUUGCUAGGCCCUGCCAUCCACAUCUGCUACUUCUCAGUCUGGUCCAGGCUUUUAACACAGGUGGAGACCCAGCAGAAACUUUCCAUAUUCUCAAAACUGGAAGUUGGACUAAGAUCUUGUUAUUGCUUUGAAACAAAAUUGACAAGGUUACUGGAUCAGUAGCCCAAACUGUCCAGGGACUUUCUGUGUAGCCCAGGUUGAUUCAUGAAUCUCUUGCCACAGUUUCCAGAGAGCUGGAAUUACAACCACCUCUCUCCCCUUUUAAGGCUCCAGUGAACACCCCAAACUUGGAUCUCCACCAGUGGAUUGGAGCUGAGGAACAACCCGGACAAAACCUCUGAACCAGACAUAUUGUGGUCAUCUGUCAGCAGCGGUCAUUUUGUAAUUAUAUCUAGAUGUAGAACUCUCAGCUACGUCUCCAGCAUCAUGUCUGCCUGGAUGCUGCCACGUUCUUCACAAUGAUGACAACAGAUUAAACCCCUGAAACUGUAAGCCAGCCCCAGUUAAAUGCUUUCCUUUAUCAGAAUAGCUGUGGUCAUGGUCGCGGUGUUUUUUUCACAGCGACAAAACACUGAUUAAGACAAAGGCACAGACAGUAUUUUCAACAGAAUUAUAGAAGAAAUUUUCCCUACUGUAAAGGAGGAGAUGCCUAUCAAAGUACAGGAAGCAAGCACUAGUCAAAUAGACUGGACCAGAGAAGGAAGAUGUCUCAGCACAUAAUAAUCAGAACACUAAGUGUGCAGAACAAAGAAGGAAUAGUAACAGCUACAAGGGAACAAGACCAAGUACAAGGACUACAUAAAAGUAGACAGAGCUAUUAGAAAUACACUUGACUUUUCAAUGGAGACUCUAAAAGCCAGAAGGGCCAGGACAGAUGUGCUGCAGACUCCAAGAGAUCACUGAGGCCAGCCAGACUAUACCUAGCAAUCACAAUAUUUGGAGGAAAUAAGAUAUUUCAUGAGAAAACCAAACUGAAGCACUAGCUAUCUACAAAUCCAUCCCUACAGGAGGCACUAGGAGGAAAACUCCAACCCAGAGUGGUAACCACACCCAAAAGGCCCACAAAGAGUAAAUAAUCCCACACAAGCUAACCAAGAGGUUUGCUACAUACAUACACACACACACACACACACACACACACACACACACACACACA